CAGCAGCUUACUACCAAGUACUAGAGAGUAUGUGCACUACAAGGCAGAGAUGUGUGUGAAAGCAAGCUAACUGCAAGUAUAUCAUCCAGUGGUACAAGAAGAAGUAGCUGAGAAGACUCCGCGUCCCAAACAUCGAGUAGUGCCGCUAGUUUAGUUAAGUGCGUUUGUGUUGAUAUUAGUCAGUGCACUGUAGUAUUUGUUUACUGCAUGUAUGUCUAUACAUGCAAAAUAAAACUUUAAUUGAAUAUAAA
rnacentral:sRNA from 1 species